UGCAAGAAAAAAAAAACAGAGGAAAAAUAUAGAAGCUUGACAGCCAGAUAGAAUAUUUCUGAGGAACCAAAAACAUGUCUAAUUCAUCUUAGCAACCCCAGUGCCUGACAACUUCUGAGCAACAGUUGGAUGCAAGGGACCCUGACGAGGACUCUAAUUUCUUAGAGGUGAUGGAGCCACAAGAUGGAAAGGAGCAAAAGGCCACCUGCUGAACACUCUCUUGGAACUAUUAUGUGAACAAGAAAGAAAUUCCUAUUGUCAUUUCUAAUGAACU